CACGCAGGCGGUCUGUCAAGUCGGAUGUGAAAUCCCCGGGCUCAACCUGGGAACUGCAUCCGAAACUGGCAGGCUAGAGUCUUGUAGAGGGGGGUAGAAUUCCAGGUGUAGCGGUGAAAUGCGUAGAGAUCUGGAGGAAUACCGGUGGCGAAGGCGGCCCCCUGGACAAAGACUGACGCUCAGGUGCGAAAGCGUGGGGAGCAAACAGGAUUAGAUACCCUGGUAG
rnacentral:rRNA from 1 species